AGUCUAAGUAUAAGCUUUUUAUACGGCAAAACUGCGAAUAGCUCAUUACAACAGUUAUAAUCUACACGAAGAUCAUUACCAAAUGGAUAUCCAUGGUAAUUCUGGAGCUAAUACAUGCAAAGACACCCAACUUCGUAGAAGGGUGGCAUUCAUUAGCAUUGGAACCAACCAGACGGCAACGUCUGUUUUUGGUGAUCAUAAUGACCGAGCAGAUCGCAUCUUGCGACAGUUCGUUCGAGUUUCUGACCUAUCAGCUCCCGUCGGUAGGGUAUUGGCCUACCGAGGCUGUGACGGGUAACGGGGAAUUAGGGUUCGAUUCCGGAGAGGGAGCCUGAGAAACGGCUACCACAUCUAAGGAUGGCAGCAGGCGCGCAAAUUACCCAAUCCCGAUACGGGGAGGUAGUGACCAGAAAUAGCAACUCAGGACCUUUUGGUUCUGUGAUUGCAAUGAGCGGAAAGCAAAACUAUUUGCGAGUACCUAUUGGAGGGCAAGUCUGGUGCCAGCAGCCGCGGUAAUUCCAGCUCCAAUAGCGUAUAUUAAAAUUGCUGCAGUUAAAGCGUCCGUAGUUGGAUUUCGUCCAAAUCGGAGGGACGCCUGUUUGUCCUCGUGUCAAUCAGUGCACCUUCUGUUUCGGACUCGGGUGGGAUAGCUUCGGCUGUACUGCUCUGUUACUUUGAGCAAAUUGGAGUGCUCCAACCAGGCUAUAGCUUAAACAGCUCAGCAUGGAAUAACAAUAUAGGACUGUGAUCCUCCUUGUUGGUGACAUGGAACACAAGUAAUGGUUGAUAGGGACAUACGGGGGCAUCCGUACUUGCUGGAGAGAGGUGAA
rnacentral:rRNA from 1 species